UUUGUCGUUCAAUAUUUAGCCCCACACCACCAUAUUUAGACUCCUCGUGACCUGAGGAUCACGAGGGUGGUCUUGCAUGUACGAUCAGGGGCUAGGAAAUGAUUGAGCUUGAGAGCUCCGAGUUCCAAUUGGAACUCAUAGUGUCUUGAGAUAUUGUGUGGUGAAUUUUGAACUCAAAUAGAGGGUUUUUAACCCUAUUUGCUCAUUAUGCAUAUUUUCAGUUUCCGGCAAGAGGAAACGGACGGACUCCAACGAGUUCAAGGUGCAAUCCGUCCUCAAAUUCUUCUACGUUUGACCUGGCAUUUCCAGAAACCGGCGAGGAGGUUCGAGGAGUUCCUGUUGAAUCCGAUGAGGUUUCAACAUCUUUUGGGCCAAUCUAAUCGUAGGUAAAUUCUUAGACUUAUUUUUGUGAUUUUGGUUGAAUGAGUAUAAAUCCGUCAAAUUCGAGCUUGGAACGAAGGUGAGUAGCGAAUACCGUUCACUUUGACGCCAGCAACGGCAGACCCGUUAGAAAUAGCGGUAUCUCCCAACGGAAAAGGUAUUUUCCGUCUCCCUGAGUCAAAAUUUCAGAUGAUUGGCGCGUGGCUCCUGCGAUGAUGAAUGUGGUGUCUAAUCGCCGAACCGUGGCGGUGCGUCACACCACUGCAGGGGCGCGUGGCUGGAGCACAACGAGUGGCGGUGUGGGGGCAGCACGUGUAGGACUUGUGGUCUAAUCCUAGUUUUUUUGAUGUUCUAAAUCACAUAGCGUUCUCCAUUUGUGCAAAUUCAAUAUCUAAAUGGCAGUUUUGGAUGAA